AGAGAGAGACAUGCGCGCAUAUCAAUAAGCGGAGGAAAAGAAACUAACAAGGAUUCCCCUAGUAACAGGCGAGUGAAGCGGGAAGAGCUCAAAUUUGAAAUCUUAAAGGGUUUCCCUUUACGAAUUGUAGUUUAAAGAAGUGUUUUCUGUUGAGGUUUUGGUAAAAGUUCUUUGGAAUAGGACAUCAUAGAGGGUGAGAAUCCCGUAUUUGACCUUUACUUUCAACUUUGUGAUACACUUUCAAAGAGUCGGAUUGUUUCGGGAAUGCAGUCCAAAAUGGGUGGUAAAUUUCAUCUAAAGCUAAAUAUUGGCGAGAGACCGAUAGCGAACAAGUACCGUGAGGGAAAGAUGAAAAGAACUUUGAAAAGAGAGUUAAACAGUACGUGAAACUGUCAAAAGGGAAGCGUUUGACACCAGUGUUGUUUUUCUGAAAAUCAAUUAAAGAACUGUUUAUGCUAAGCUGUUUAGACUUUAUCAGCUAUACUGUUUAGUUUUGAGCUUUUCUUUAAUGCACUUUUCAGUUAACAAGUCAACAUCAAUUUCUUUUGCUGUAAAAAAGCUUGAGGAAGGUGGCUUGAGAUUCGUCUUAAGUGUUUAUAGCCUCUUGCCUAUGCAGUCGGAGAGAUUGAGGUCUGCAGCGUAGAUCCUUCGGGGCUAAAUGCAUUUGUGCUAAGUUAUAGCAUUUUAUAGACAACUUGUUGACUAUGAUUUGUCUUGUAGCUUACUCGCUUAUGUUAUUUUACCUACGCUUAGGAUGUUGAGCGCAUGUCUCUCUCU
rnacentral:rRNA from 1 species